UGGGGAAUUUUGGACAAUGGGCGCAAGCCUGAUCCAGCCAUGCCGCGUGCGGGAAGAAGGCCUUCGGGUUGUAAACCGCUUUUGUCAGGGAAGAAACGUUUCAGGCUAAUAUCUUGAAAUAAUGACGGUACCUGAAGAAUAAGCACCGGCUAACUACGUGCCAGCAGCCGCGGUAAUACGUAGGGUGCAAGCGUUAAUCGGAAUUACUGGGCGUAAAGCGUGCGCAGGCGGUCUUGCAAGACAGAUGUGAAAUCCCCGGGCUCAACCUGGGAACUGCAUUUGUGACUGCAAGGCUGGAGUACGGCAGAGGGGGAUGGAAUUCCGCGUGUAGCAGUGAAAUGCGUAGAUAUGCGGAGGAACACCGAUGGCGAAGGCAAUCCCCUGGGCCUGUACUGACGCUCAUGCACGAAAGCGUGGGGAGCAAACA
rnacentral:rRNA from 1 species